GUCUACGGCCAUACCACCCUGAUCUCGUCUGAUCUCGGAAGCUAAGCAGGGUCGGGCCUGGUUAGUACUUGGAUGGGAGAAAGAGAGAAGAAUUAAUUGCAUAGAGG
rnacentral:rRNA from 1 species